rnacentral:rRNA from 1 species
AUUGAACGCUGGCGGCAGGCCUAACACAUGCAAGUCGCACGAGUGGCGGACGUGUGAGUAAUGUCCGGGAAACUGCCUGAUGGAGGGGGAUAACUACUGGAAACGGUAGCUAAUACCGCAUACCAUCAGAUGUGCCCAGAUGGGAUUAGCGAGGAGGUGGGGUAAUGGCUAACCUAGGCAACGAUCCCUAACUGGUCUGAGAGGAUGACCAGCCACACUGGAACUGAGACACGGUCCAGACGCCGACGGGAGGCAGCAGUGGGGAAUAUUGCACAAUGGGCGCAAGCCUGAUGCAGCCAUGCCGCGUGUGUGAAGAAGGCCUUCGGGUUGUAAAGCACUUUCAGCGAGGAGGCGUUACUCGCAGAAGAAGCACCGGCUAACUCCGUGCCAGCCGCCGCGGUAAUUC